rnacentral:lncRNA from 1 species
CAACUCCUCGGGCAGAGGGGGUUGAGUCAGCCCCGCCGCCGGGGAAGCAGCUCCGGGCCGAGCCCCUGAGUCAGAACCGGCCCGUGGAGGCAGCCGGUGCCCCAGCCCGCAGCUUCGUCGCCCAACCGAGGCUCCCAGGGCUGGCGGCCGGGAUCUGAGGGGCCUGGACGUGGGGAUGUUCAGGGAUCCAGGAGGAGGACUUUCACGGGCCAUCCAAGCCACCCCCUCCUCUGGAGGAGGCCUCUUCUCUGUGGGCUCCCUCAAGACACCACCUCCCCAUCGCCGCAAAGUCCAUCCCUACCCGCCUUCCCCUCCCCUUGCGAGUGGUCCCGCUUACCCUUCACUGCCAUCAUCGCCCUGCCUUUCCCAGUCCUGCUGGCUGCGCUCAGUCUUUAGGUGGUAGCAGGCCAGGUACAGCGGACACUUGCUGAUGGGGGAUUCCAGGAGGUGGGAUUUCAAGUGGCACCACUGCAAGUGGAGGUGAGAACGAGCGUGAGGACCUGGAGCAGGAGUGGAAGCCCCCGGAUGAGGAGUUGAUCAAGAAACUGGUGGAUCAGAUCGAAUUCUACUUUUCUGAUGAAAACCUGGAGAAGGACGCCUUUUUGCUAAAACACGUGAGGAGGAACAAGCUGGGAUAUGUGAGCGUUAAGCUACUCACAUCCUUCAAAAAGGUGAAACAUCUUACACGGGACUGGAGAACCACAGCACAUGCUUUGAAGUAUUCAGUGGUCCUUGAGUUGAAUGAGGACCACCGGAAGGUGAGGAGGACCACCCCCGUCCCACUGUUCCCCAACGAGAACCUCCCCAGCAAGAUGCUCCUGGUCUAUGAUCUCUACUUGUCUCCUAAGCUGUGGGCUCUGGCCACCCCCCAGAAGAAUGGAAGGGUGCAAGAGAAGGUGAUGGAAC